GAAGAGAAAGGGAGGGUGCCGCGGUAAGUGAGAGGUGGCAUGGGGGUGUCGGAAGUGUGGGGAGUAAAGGGCUGGUGGGCGGUCUGUGAAGUAUCGGGUGAAAGCGCGAGGCGUAACCGGGAAAGGGCGCGCGAAACUGGCGGACUUGGAGUGUCGGAGAGGGUGGCGGAAGUCCCGGUGUAGAGGUGAAAUUCGGAGAUAUCGGGAGGAACACCAGAGGCGAAGGCGGCCACCUGGACGAGCACUGACGCUGAGAAGCGAAAGCGUGGGGAGCAAACAGGAUUAGAUACCCCUGUAGUC
rnacentral:rRNA from 1 species